AUUGAACGCUGGCGGCAGGCUUAACACAUGCAAGUCGAACGAGUGGCGGACGGGUGAGUAAUGUCUGGGAAUCUGCCUUAUGGAGGGGGAUAACUACGGGAAACUGUAGCUAAUACCGCGUACCAUCGGAUGUGCCCAGGUGGUAUUAGUUUGUUGGUGGGGUAACGGCUCACCAAGUCGACGAUCCCUAGCUGGUCUGAGAGGAUGACCAGCCACACUGGGACUGAGACACGGCCCAGACUCCUACGGGAGGCAGCAGUGGGGAAUAUUGCGCAAUGGGCGCAAGCCGGACGCAGCCAUGCCGCGUGAAUGAAGAAGGCCUUCGGGUUGUAAAGUACUUUCAGCGGGGAGGCGUUACACGCAGAAGAAGCACCGGCUAACUCCGUGCCAGCAGCCGCGGUAAUAC
rnacentral:rRNA from 1 species